GCCAUUAAAGGCUUAGUAUAUCAGUGGUUAGAGUGCGGUGCUGAUAAAGCCAAGGUUGCAGGUUUGAUCCCUGUAUGGGACA